rnacentral:lncRNA from 1 species
GGGGACAAUCGGGUGUAUUCGGUCAUUGGGCAUACGAUACACCCACACGACACUCCCCAAUUCCUUUGAUUUUAACUUUGGAGCACCGAUGAGCAACACCGGUAACACUCAGGCAUGUAUGUCAUCAAGUUACUAGGGUGGGUAAAAAAGAAGUGAUUUUGGGACUGACGCCAGAUUCAUAAGGCAUAUCCAGACAACCUUAAGAGGAUUGCAUGAUAGAUAAUGACCUAAUGGAGGAGCCUA